CUGAGUGCAAUCAUAACAAUAGUAAUAAUCCAAAAUCAUAAAAUCUGCUAGUGUGUGUGCCAAGACCUGAUUGUACAAACUCUAGCUACUGUCUAAAACAAAAAUAGACAGAAAAUGAAAGCAAAUGAGAGACUCUAGGUGCUGCGAAACAGCUCGGGAAGCAGCCCACCACUAGGCCUCCGGGUAACGGGGAUGCGCGCUGGUAUGUCCACCAGAUGCACCUGCCUCAGAUCCUGCACGGUUAGUGCAGAAGUGUAGUGUGAGUACAUAAACAACAUGUACCCAGUAAGUAUCAAGUCUAACAUCGAAGAAGUAGUGACGAGGGGUAGACAACGACACUUUUACCAUGGGCUAACAAUAGCAGUACAAAAGUUCUAAAUAAGCAUGGAUUAUAUAUAUAUGAUAAUAAUAAUAAUAAUAACUCAUUAACAAGCAGGAAAUAAAUAAUUUUUUCACACAUCGAAAUUUCCAACUUAAUUCAAUCAUAUAUGAUUUCAACCUCUCAAGCCAUGAAAUGAUAUCAAAUGUAUAAUUAAACUCCGAGUAUUAUCACGCACGAUUAUGCCGAGGUCGUACAGCCCGAUCCAAAAUAAUAUGUACAUUGCCGAGGAUCGAGCGGCAUGAACCAUAGAUGCAUUUAUCUACUGUCGAGGCGUUCAGCCCGCUUCACAAGAAGAGAGGAUACUUUAUAAGCAUUUGACUUAAACGUUAUUAAAGGCUAAUGCCUGUUACACCCCAUUUUAAACUGGUUAAAAUAGAGUACAACAUAUAGGCAAAUUCGAAUUUGAUUAAAGUAAUAGAGUCGCCACCUAAUUAUUUCUUAAGUGAAUUAGGACACCUAAAUUGAUUAAAGUAAUUUAAUAAAGUAUAACUAUGUUAAUAGUCUAUUUAACCUAAAGAUUCUAGGUAAGGGUUCAAUUAAUCUAAAGGGAAGGUUUUUAAGGCACCCUUUAAGAUCCAUAUGAAAUGGUUAACCGAACGGACUAAAGUUAAAUAAAGCUAACUGUUGUAAUGUAAUAAAUUGAUUAAUAGGAUUAAAUAAAAGGUAAUAACUUUGAUUUGAAAGAAAGAUUGUCACGAAAAGAGCCAAUUUCAAAAGCACGAUUUGAAAAAAUUCGAACGAAAAAUUCCAUGUUGCUUUUAAAAUGGAAGUUAUUUCAGAACAAAAUGAGUUGAGGCCAAAAUGUCUUAUUUUGGGAAGAAAGUACACUUCUGCCACACAAAUAGGUUAAGGAACCAAGUAAAUCAAAUGUGAUUGAAUUUAAUACUAAAAAAAAGUCAGGUUUUAUUAAACACCCUUGUUUAUAGUUACGCCCUCUCCCAAUGUAUCCAAAACUUAAGAAAGAAAACCAGGUUUUGACUUGGGUAAAUAGCGAGCUUAGCUGUUUCAAAUACUACCCCAAAAUUAAAUUGGUCUAUCACCCUCACUUCUUAAUGGAAAUAAAAAUCUUCAUGCCUAUGUCAUAUUCUAUGUAAAAGGUGUCUUCAUUAUUAGCUAGAGUAAAGAUUUUAAAUAGCUAAAAGAGUUGGUCAUAACAAACCCAGGAUCAAAACAAAUAUGCCACUAAACAAACAAUAUUGUUAGUCACAAUAUCGGAAAAGUAACAUAAGCUAAGUAACAGUGAAAUGAUCGAAAGCCAUAUUUCGGUUUCCAACAGAAGAUUUUAUAUUCUUUGAUCUGUUGUUUAGAUCAGUUGCGGACCUAAAAUUUUGUGCAAGCGGGUUCAAUCUUAGAAGUAUAUAAAUUUAGUCGUAAAAUAGUAAUUGUCAAGUGUGUUCAAAUAAAAUAUUUAUGCAAAAUUUAAACAGCUUUAAUACUAAUUUAUACAUAUACACAAGCUGCAAACAACUUUAACAAUUUAAAAAAGAUAUUUUAAAAUUGUACACUUUUAACAACUUUAAAUGGCAUUCUUCGCAUAUCAUCAACAACUUUAAAAAGAUAUUUUGGUAGAGUAAAAACUACAAGCUGCAAACAAUUAGUUUCUUUAGACUAGACAAAACACUAUUAAGUCCUAAAAGUAUGUCUAACGAAUAAAUAUGUACACUUUUCUGUUCGUACUUAAGUUACUUCAGAUAAUUCCAUAUUGUUGAUGUCAAAAACUUUUAAAAUGUUCGAACAUGGACUGUUUUAUCUAUCAAACGAGCAGACAGGUAGAUUUUCCUAUAGGCAUGCUCUCUAAAACAUAAAGUCUCUUCUUUCUUUUUUAAUCAUUUAAGAGCAGAAAAAGAAAAGAACAUAAUAGUUUAACAGAAAAACAAUUCUUAUGUCAUAUUAACAAUUGCUUAAUAAAAGUAGUAUAUUAAUACUGAAGUCAUGCUCCCUACGUUAUAUAUUGAUUAAACAGGAUAUCCUUUCUUUUACCUAAAAACAUGGUAUCUAAAGGGUGGAAAUAAAUCGGCACUAAUAGCACUCAAACAAAAUAGACAACAAACCAUGAAUAUGUUGCGAAGAAUCGACAGAAUAGAAAAGAGAAAAAAAAACGAACACUGACCUUGCUGGGUGCAGUGAACUGGGAUGAUGUUGGCCUCGAAUCUACUCUCUCGUUAUGAAAAGAUUCGAACCUCGAUCGGAAGAAAAGUUCUGUAAGAGAUUUUUUGAGUGUUUUAGAGACUAUAACAGUGAUGAGAGUGGCAAAGUAGUAGUGUUCAAAAGGUGACUGGUUCGUGUGUCUAGUCACUAGUGUAGGUGGAUCCAGCUCUCGUGUAAGCCUUUAAACUGAACUAAACGACUUUAAGAACCUUGAAGUUCCGAAAUGGUGGCGGCCAAAAAGUCUCCCCUAUAACAACUCCAAACAAUGGUAUUUAUAGGGAAAAAUAUUUGAAUUUCGGAUUUCAAAAUUAGUCAAAUGGAGCCGUUUGAAUUCGAUUUUUGGAUUCAUAAUCAGAUAAGUGAAAACCCCAGCUUUUCAGUGAGGUUGCAGGGAAAGAAAAAAUAAAAUCGAUGCAAAGAGACGUUGGGUCAAAGCAAGGAUGAGUUUGUGCAAAAAUUUUGUGUAUUAGUUCUGUCGAAAGUUGAAAGGGACUGAGAUUUAGCAUGAAAGUGGAAAGAGGGAAGAUGGGGU
rnacentral:lncRNA from 1 species